ACUAGUUGAUCCUGCCAGUUUUUUUUUUUUUUUAAAAAAAAGGAAAAUAAAGUUUACCUUUCAUAUUAAGGCAUCUGAUUAAGGAAGGCAGAAUAUGUAUUUCUCUUGCUCUCCACUGUUAUCCCCUCAUGAGGAGUAGUUUUUGGCCCCUAGAUGCCCCUCAGAAUAUUUUGGUUAAGCAAAUGAAACUAUUUUAAAAUGAAAUUUUAAGGUGAAACUAUACAGUCAAUGUAAUACUCCUCAUUAAGAACUUUUUAUACAGACUAAUGAUGGAUUAAAACUCUUAAUGGUUGAUAAAACCUCCUCCCAUUCACAGGUAAGCACCUGGAACAAUUCAGUCGGGAACCUAGUGUCACAGACCAUAAAAUCCUAUAGCCAGGCACGGUGGCUCAUGCCUGUAAUCGCAGCACUUUGGGAGAACAAGGCAGGUGGGUCACCUGAGGUUGGGAGUUCAAGACCAGCCUGACCAACCAGAGAAAUCCCGCCUCUACUAAAAAAUACAAAAUUAGCUGUGUGUGGUGGCCCAUGCCUGUAAUCCCAGCUACUCAGCAGGCUGAGGCAGGAGAAUCGCUUGAACCCGGGAGGCGGAGGUUGCGGUGAGCUGAGGUCGUGCCAUUGCACUCCAGCCUGGGCAACAAGACCGAAACUCCGUCUCAAAAAAAAAAAAAAAAAAAAAUCCUAUAAUACCUUGACCAAAACUACUUUGUCUAAAUAGUUCCUGCACACACACUAGCUAGGUUCCCCACAGGAAGCAAUGCCGUAGGCGGCAACUUAACAGUAGACACUCUAUCAAGAAAAGUGAUAGGGCUCAGAAAAACAAAUCCGCAAAGUGAACCCUCAAGUAAUAAAAGCAGCAAAGGAGUAGGAGGGAAGAGGACAGCAUCGUGUUUACAGCCUAACAAAGGGCAAGAUGCCCUGGGACUGCAGCAACACAAGCUUUCACUAACAAAGUGACCCAAUUUAGCUGGCACAGGAAAUUCAAAUUCCGGGUAAGGUAGGAUCUUCACAGGGCACAAAUUUGUGGUCCCAGACUUUUAGGGGACAUUCUAAAUGCUACACUUUACUGGUGAUAUUAAAUAUUAAUUCAUUUACUCAAACCCAAAGUAAAAUAUCUCUAACUCGUUAGUGAAAAAGUUGAGGUACAAUACUACAGAAAAACUAGGCUGGGCAUGGUGGCUCAUGCCUAUAAUCCCAGCACUUUGGGAGGCCAAGGCAGGUGGUUCACCUGAGGUCAGGAGUUCAAGACCAGCCUGGCCAACAUGGCGAAACCUGUCUCUACCAAAAAUACAAAAAUUACCCAGGCGUGGUGGUGGGUACCUGUAAUCCCAGGUACUCAGGAGGCUGAGGCAGGAGAAUUGCUUGAACCCGGGAGGCAGAGGUUAUCGUGAGCCACGCUCACGCUGCUGCACUCCUGCACUCCAGCCUGGGCAACAGAGCAAGAUUCCGUCAAAAAAAAAAGUACAGUAUAUAAUUUGUUCAAUUAUUCAAUUAUUAGUAGUAGUGUGCCCAUUUUAAAGAUGAGAGCCUUAGAGGCAGUAAGUAACUUGGCACAAAUCAGUUUAGCUAAAAAUGGCUAAAAGAAUACUUCAACUGAGGUCUUUAAUACUAAAUCCAUUAUUCUUCCUACUGCCUGAGAAACCAGAUAAUUUUGGUAUAAGUAAGUAUUUCUUAAACUUAUAAUGCCGGGCAUCAUGGUGCACACCUGCAGUCCCAGCCUCCCCACUUGGGAGGCUGAGGCAGGAGAAUUGCUUGAACCCGGGAGGCAGAGAUUGCAGGAGCCGAGAUCACGUCACUGCACUCCAGCCUGGGAGACAGAAUAAGACUCUGUCUCAAAAAUAAAUAAAUAAGCUGGGAACAAUAGACACCAGGGCCUACUUGAGGGUGGCCCCAGUAAGGACUGAAAAAACUACCUAUCAGGUAUUACGCUAUUUACUAGGGUGACAAAAUUAUCUGUACACCAAACCCCAUGACAGGUAAUUUACCCAUGUGACAAACCUGCACAUGUACCCCUUGAACCUAAAAUAAAAGCUGAAAAGAAAAAAAAAAAAAAAAAGAAACAAUCUAGAGAGAUGGAGGAGCCUGAUCAUAGAGUCAUUAGUCACACUGGAGAUUUGGGGCUUUAUUCUGUAAGUGUUAGAAAAUUCUUGAAAGAAUUUUCAAGUGUGUGAAAUGAUAAUGCAUUUAAAUUUUAGACAUGGUGACAGAAGGAGAGAUGGGUUUAAGGGGAAACAAAAGAGAAAGAGAUAGUGGAGAGGGGUAAUGAGGGCCUGAAUUAGCGACAUGGUAGCAGACAGGUGAAGGAAGGAUACAGGAGGAGAAGAAAGAGUGAUGACACACUCCUUAGGAAGAUGUUCAUGUUUAUGGCUUCAGUGACUUGGGUAACUGAAAUAAGUAAGUAAAAAAAGAGGAGCUUCAGGUUUUAGGGAGAAGGGACUGAGGUCGGUUUUGUAUACAUUGAAUUUUGUGAUGUCUGUGGGCAUUGAACCAGUUAUGUCCAGUAGGCAUCUGGAUAAAAGAGUGUGAUGUGUAGGAGAAAAUAUUCAGAUGGGAUGGUGAUGCACACUUGGCAGCAAUAAGCAUAGAGGUGACAGAGCCACAGGAAUGAGUGAAACCAGCUAAAGAAGGCAUAUGGAAGAAGAAGGUUUCAGAAAGAAUCAGGUAAACUGCAACAUUAAAGGGGUGAACCAGCCCAGGGAGGAGACUCCGCAAGAAGGAGCAGACAGAAGCGAGAGGAAGAUCCAAGAAAUGUGGGGAUGAAACAUUUCCACAUGUCAAUGGCCAACAGUGUCUCUGCAACAAAGUCAUUGAGUUAGGAAAGGACUGAAAAUGCAUCCAUCCUAUUUCUCAAUGCCAAAUCACUAGUACUCCUUUAGGGCUGGGCGCGGUGGCUCACGGCUGUAAUCCCAGCACUUUGGGAGGCCCAGGUGGGCGGAUCGUCUGAGGUCAGGAGUCCAAGAUCAGCCUGGCCAACAUGGUGAAACCCCAUCUCUACUAAAAAUACAAAAAUUAGCCGGGCAUAGUGACGGAUGCCUGUAAUCCCAGCUACUCCAGAGGCUGAGGCAGGGAGAGUUGCUUAAACCCGGGAGGCGGAGGUUGUAGUGAGUCCAGAUCACACCACCACACUCCAGCCUGGGUGACAGAGGGAGACUCCGUUUCAAAAUAAAAAAAAGACAAAAUCCCUAGUACUCCUUCAAAAAGGAAGAAGAGGGAGAGAGAGCAUUUGUGUGGCAUGGCAGGGCUGGUACCCAGUACCUGUGGUAGAGAAGUGAAUGGAAGGUGAAAGAGGGGAGCGGUGACAGUUUCUUUCUCAGAUGUGCCUGCCUGAGAAUAGAGGAAAUGUGUUCAAAGUGGUUCUAGGAUCAAAGCCCCAAAGUCAGUCAUAAGACCACGUGGCAUUGAUGGGGGCCAGGCUGAUUCACCAACUUCACCAGCCAACAGCCUCCAUGGAGAAACGAUAAGAGGAAACUCACUGGGCGGUGCCGGGAAAGUGACGCACCUGGACACUUCCUGACUGCCAUGGAAAUCAGAUAGGAGGGGUAGGGAAGAGGAUCCAAAUAGAAUGGGGCACUGGAUUUGCAUGGAUUAGAUGAGGGAAGAGGUGAAGGGAAAGUGAAGGAGGUGUCCGGGGUACCUCAGGAACAAAAAUGUCAGCAUAUUCCAACAUGAGCUAAGGGGACACUUCAGAUAGAACUUCAGACUGUUGGUUCAGUGUGAGUAAUAGGAUUCAACACUAUCAGAAAGGGCUGGGCUCAGUGGCUCACCACCUAUAAUCCCAACACUUUUAGGAGCCUGAGGUAGGAGGAUUGCUUGAGGCCAGGAGGUCAAGGCUGUAAUGAGCCAUGAUUGCAACACUAUACCCUAGCCUGGGUGACACAGUGAGACCCUGUCUCAACAAACAAACAAACAAACACUAACAGAAAGGAAGGACGCAGGUCUUUAUUAGCAUGCACUCCCCGACCCCCUGCAAUUCCUGGCUCCCUCCCAAGAUUCAGAGUUGCUGGGCUCUGCCUGCUUAGCACUCACAACCCUGCUUAGGUCUCCAGGGGCAAUCAACUGGCUGCUUCCCUUUUUGUAAGUGAAAGGUCACGUCUCCAUCUGCA
rnacentral:lncRNA from 1 species